GGUCCUGUAGCUCAGUUGGGACAGUAUCACCUUGACAUGGUGGGGGUCGCUGGUUCGAGACCAGUCGGGACCA
rnacentral:tRNA from 1 species